UAAAUGGUGGGCAACAAGCAUGCCCAGAGACAGGACGCGAAGCAGAAAGCUGACCGUGAGAGUGAUGAGAGGAGGCUUAUCCCCUGCUGCCUUGCCCCGGAGCUGCUCUUCUGGUAGCUUGAAUCCAUUUCUUUCACAUCCAGUCUUCAUCCCUCAGCAACCCAAUUGGAGCCACUCAACACCCAUGAGCCAGAUGGACGACCAUCGUUAUUCUGGGGCAGGCAGCAGCUUCCAAGAAGAUGGCCUUGUAAUUCCAGGUCACGCCUGCCUGCUGCCUUCAGAGGAAGGACUCACCACAAAUCCAGAUUCUGCUGUGCGUGGCUGUCAAAUGUGAGGCCAUCUGGGGAUGUGUCACGGGGACUGGGGUGGCCGUAAGUCACCUUUCUAGCUACCUGUUGGAUAACCUUUCUAUAUUUGAUGAAAAGUAGUACCUGACUUCCGGACCUGGAGAUUGAAGCUCAGUUUCCAGCUGCCCUGAAACAUGCUUGGGAGACUGACUUGGAAGACAGAGCGGCAAGGAAGCGGCGUCUCAGCGUCACUUCCUGCGGGGAGGGUCAGCCUUUGGCGUCUUCUGAGGCUGACUUCUCAGCAGAGGAUCCCUGUGCUUGAGGCCGCAGUGCCUAGAGGUGCCAGGUGGGGCGGGAGACAUGGUAACUGGGAUACGUAGCCCCGAGCCCAGUUACUGCUCCUCUUAGCUAGGUAGCGAGGAUUCAGUAGUUUGCAGGACUCUGCCUGACGCCGUGCCCGGGCGUGGUCUGGGCAGUCUCUUCACAUCAUCCGCGAAGGCAUCUGGGCUUUUUUCUGUCGGUCAGCGGGUGACUCCUUCAUCCGUCGUCCCUCCAUGUGUGCGGCCAUCUUUUCAGCAAAGGCAUCUGGGCUUUUUUCCUGUCAGCGGGUGACUCCUUCCUCCGUCGUCCCUCCAUGUGUGCGGCCAUCUUUUGUCACGUGCCUGCACUGUCGAUGUCAGGCUGGGGACACACAGGACCGACUGAGCAUGGUGAGAUCUAGAAUUUAUGCCUCAUUCAGUUAAUGUUCUUUAGAUAUUUGUUCAACGUUUAUUUGGUAAGCGGGUAAAAGUUUCCCUUACACUUUCUCAGUAACCUAUGUACCAGCUGUCCUUUCGCUCACACCUUUGAGCUUUUCUCCCUGUAUUAGUCAGGGUUCUCUAGAGGGACAGAACUCAUAGGAUAGAUGUAUAUGAAGGGGAGUUUAUUAGGAGAAUUGACUCACACGAUCACAGGUGAAGUCCCACAAUAGGCCGAAUGCAAGCUGAGGAGCCAGGAAGCCAGUCCAAGUCCCAAAACCUCAAAUGUAGGGAAGCCGACAGCACAGCCGUGUCUGUGGCCAAAGGCCCGGGAAACCACUGGUGUAAGUCCAAGAGUCCCAGAGCUGAGGAGCUUGGAGUCUGAUGUUCGAGGGCAGGAAGCAUCCAGCACGGGAGAAAGAUGGAGGCCAGAAGACUCAGCCGGUCCAGUCCUUCCAUGUUCCCCUGCCUGCUUUUAUUCUGGCCGUGCUGGCAGCUGAUUAGACGGUGCCCACCUGGAUUGAGGUUAGGCCACUCUACCAUAAGAUGGCUGCAGUUUGCUGGGGUCCACGCCAGACCCUAAUUGCCUUGGUUUUUCCCAUACCUGGAGGUAUCACCGGUGAAGACUGAGAAACAGCAAAGAUGACAGCCAGCUCCUUCCUCUGGAAGCUCUGUCCCAGGGGGGUACUGACCUGUUGCCAGCCUGAACACACCUGCAGGAGGUGGCUAUAGAGACCUGUUGGGGGAUCUCUCCUAGUCAGGAGAAAUGGGGUCAGGGACCUGCUUAAAGAAGCAGUCCUGGCUGGGCGCGGUGGCUCACGCCUGUAAUCCCAGCACUUCGGGAGGCCGAGGUGGGCGGAUCAUGAGGUCAGGAGAUCGAGACCAUCCUGGCUAACAGUGAAACCUCGUCUCUACUAAAAAUACAAAAAAAUUAGCCAUGCGUGGUGGCGGGUGCCUGUAGUCCCAGCUACUCGGGAGGCUGAGGCAGGAGAAUGGUGUGAACCCAGGAGGCGGAGCUUGCAGUGAGCCGAGAUUGCACCAUGUCACCUCCAGCCUGGGCAACAGAACGAGACUCCGUCUCAAAACAAAACAAAACAAAAGCAGUCCUGCUGCUUUUUCAUAGAGCAGUCUGCAGGCUGGAACGGCUGAGUCUACCGAAUUGCAGAGAUGGCAGCCACCCCUCCCCUGGGAACUCGGACCCUUCUCAGGCAGAGUCCAGCCUGUUGCUGUUGGCUGGCUGGGAUUCCAAGCCAGUGGGUCUUAACUUGUGAUGUGCCAUGGAAGUGAGGACUGCGGAAUGAUUCUGCUUGGCUCCAUGGAGUCAGCCCUCUUCCCAGGAAUCUGGAAGGAUGGAUUUCCCACCUUGCCAGGGAUCCUGGGGCUGGAGUAUGUAAAACG